rnacentral:rRNA from 1 species
GCGUGAGUGAUGAAGGCCUUAGGGUUGUAAAGCUCUUUCAGCAGGGAAGAUAAUGACGGUACCUGAAGAAGAAGCCCCGGCUAACUCCGUGCCAGCAGCCGCGGUAAUACGGAGGGGGCUAGCGUUGUUCGGAAUUACUGGGCGUAAAGAGCGCGUAGGCGGUCUAUUAAGUUGGAAGUGAAAUCCCGAGGCUCAACCUCGGAACUGCUUUCAAAACUGGUAGACUAGAGAGCGAUAGAGGAUGGUGGAAUUCCUAGUGUAGAGGUGAAAUUCUU